rnacentral:rRNA from 1 species
UCUGGCGGCAGUAGCGCGGUGGUCCCACCUGACCCCAUGCCGAACUCAGAAGUGAAACGCCGUAGCGCCGAUGGUAGUGUGGGGUCUCCCCAUGCGAGAGUAGGGAACUGC